rnacentral:lncRNA from 1 species
UUUAUUAUUCUACAAUUCGUUCCACAUAGUCUGCAGAGCCCCAUUCAUACUGGAUAAAUUUUAGUCGCAUCCGGUCCGUCAAAUGUCUUAUGAUCUAUAGAGCCCUUUUGAUUUUUCUAUGGCAACAUUUGCUAUGCUGACGUCAUUGCCACGUCAUUACUGUCAGUCAGACAGAAAUAAAAGAAAAAUGGAUGCCGUUGAGACGUACACGCAUUAUUUGGAACUGAAAAUUACUUAAUUUAUCGACCUGCUGGCUUGUAUUUGUUAUAAAUCAUAAAAAAACCUGUGACGCCAGUGGAACUACGUGGUUUUCUUUCGUGAUGAUUUGAUGAUACCUCAAUGGAAUUGAGCCAAGUUUUUGCCGUAUUGGGUGCUAGAUGCCCCUUGGAGUUAAGCCCCAGUGCCACUAUACUACCUUACCAGUUAUGUGUGGGUGUUGUAGUCCUAAGACACCCCGGAGGUACAAAGGGCCUUCACAAGCUCAUGCCACGCCUUCCUAUCUUCAGCAACCCUCGUGACCUCGCUCCACCAGCUCAAACCUGCCAGUCGCAGCUCAUUUUUCGACGGACCGCUUCCAUGAGUAGACAAGGCACCGACGAUCACGGCUUGCAUCACCUGUACUGCUUCGUAAUAUAGUAUGCUGAACAUCGCUGAACGCUGCCAUUAUACUAGGAACAACGUCCUGCCCCUUCCCCGGCUGUGUACAAAUUGGAACUCCAUUUGCAUGCCCCUUUGACUGAGCAACGUGUGUGUGUGCUCGAAACACAUUCACUUGCAACAAAAUGACUCCCAGGCUGACCUGGCUCAGCUCCUGUAUGUCUGAUCUACAUCCACAAUGGUUUCAACGAAAGAGUGAAAAUUCUUCUCCAUGUACAAUCACUUCCAACGCCUACACUGACUACACCAAAUAUGAUCAUCACUCAACGUGUCUCACAUCAAGAUACUUUUCAAAAGUCAUCGAGAAGAGGAACAUAAUAUCUUUUCCCAUGGUUUCCUGAAUAAUCCUAACUAAAAGUUACUUCUCUAUUCUAUUUUUCCUGCAUGGAGUGGCGCUUUUCCGUUUAAUGGAAACGAUAUGAACAUAUAUGCUCUGGGUUUUU